GAUGAACGCUGGCGGCAUGCCUAAUACAUGCAAGUCGAACGAGAGGAAGGAAAGCUUGCUUUUCUGAAUCUAGUGGCGAACGGGUGAGUAACACGUAGGUAACCUGCCCAUGUGCCCGGGAUAACUUCUGGAAACGGAUGCUAAAACCGGAUAGGUAGCAGACAAGCAUUUGACUGCUAUUAAAGUGGCUAAGGCCAUGAACAUGGAUGGACCUGCGGUGCAUUAGCCAGUUGGUGAGGUAACGGCCCACCAAGGCGACGAUGCAUAGCCGGCCUGAGAGGGCGGACGGCCACAUUGGGACUGAGAAACGGCCCAAACUCCUACGGGAGGCAGCAGUAGGGAAUUUUCGUCAAUGGGGGGAACCCUGAACGAGCAAUGCCGCGUGAGUGAGGAAGGUCUUCGGAUCGUAAAACUCUGUUGUAAGAGAAAAACGACAUUCAUAGGGAAUGAUGAGUGAGUGAUGGUAUCUUACCAGAAAGUCACGGCUAACUACGUGCCAGCCGCCGCGGUAA
rnacentral:rRNA from 1 species